AGUCGAACGAUGAACCACUUCGGUGGGGAUUAGUGGCGAACGGGUGAGUAACACGUGGGCAAUCUGCCCUUCACUCUGGGACAAGCCCUGGAAACGGGGUCUAAUACCGGAUAACACUCCCGCACUCAUGUGCGGGGGUUAAAAGCUCCGGCGGUGAAGGAUGAGCCCGCGGCCUAUCAGCUUGUUGGUGAGGUAAUGGCUCACCAAGGCGACGACGGGUAGCCGGCCUGAGAGGGCGACCGGCCACACUGGGACUGAGACACGGCCCAGACUCCUACGGGAGGCAGCAGUGGGGAAUAUUGCACAAUGGGCGAAAGCCUGAUGCAGCGACGCCGCGUGAGGGAUGACGGCCUUCGGGUUGUAAACCUCUUUCAGCAGGGAAGAAGCGAAAGUGACGGUACCUGCAGAAGAAGCGCCGGCUAACUACGUG
rnacentral:rRNA from 1 species